ensembl:lncRNA
CUCCUGUUGCAGAGCGCAGAGUCUGGAGCACCAGCUCAGUGGUUGUCAGAAGUUGUGGUGCACAGGCUUAGUUGCCCUGCAGCCUGUGGGAUCCUUCCAGACCAGGGAUCAAACCCAGGUCCCCUGCAUCUUAACCACUGGACCACCAAUCCCCAGCUUGGAUAUUUGAAUUCUGCUUCUGGUCAGGAACCAAAUGAUUCCUGCAGUGGGAUCCUGCUCUUCAACAGAGACCACCAAGGAAGUUGGGAAACACAUAAAAGGAAUUUGCUUCACUUUUUCAUUGAACAACAAGUCCUUUGAAUUCCUAAUUGGAAACUUUCACACAUGAAUUGAGGUGGUUGCAACUCAUUUCCUGCAGUCCUGCUCCCCUCCUUCAUUUGGAGCAAAAUAAUUGUUGAUGUGUGGGGCGUGACCUUUGACCUCUGAUGGCUGCCUGCAAUCUACUUUCCUAGCUCAUUUGCAUAAAGGGCGUUAGAAACCCUCUGGCACCUUCUUCUCUUCUCACAUAAAAUUCUGACUUCCUUGAUCUACUAGGGAGUAAAACAAGAUCUCAAGA